rnacentral:lncRNA from 1 species
CCCAUGUGUUUAAUCAGUAAGAACUUAGUUAAUAAAUAUCAGGAGAGGGAGCCUAAGAGAGCCUAGAGAGAUGGCCUUGGAGUCAAGAAAACCUGCAUCAAGUGGAAUUUCUGGCAUCUAUUGGUUGUGUGACCCCUAAGGAAACCCCUUAAUCUCAGUUUGCAGAACAGGAGCUGAUUUGAAUUAGUAGGAAGCUCCUUUCUGGGAGGUGUCUCUCUCUCUCUCUCUCUCUCUCUCUCUCUCUCUCUCUCUCUCUCUCUCUCUCUCUCUCUCUCUCUCUCUCUCUCUCUCUCUCUCUCUCUCUCUCUCUCUCUCUCUCUCUCUCUCUCUCUCUCUCUCUCUCUCUCUCUCUCUCUCUNAUAAAAAAAACCCCCCCCAAGGGGGUUUUUGGGCCUUUUUGGGGGGGGGGCCCCCAAAGAAAACCCCUUUUUUUUUUUUUUGAAAAAGGGGGGUUUUUUUUUUUUUUUUUUUUUUUUUUUUUUUUUUUUUUUUUUUUUUUUUUUUUUUUUUUUUUUUUUUUUUCCCCCCCCCCCCCCCCCCCCCCGUGUGCAGUUCUAUCUACCUGUCUAUCCAUCUAAAUUGUAGUAAGUUCCUCUGGAGGUUUGGGGUAGAGAGAAAACUUAUGAUUUCUACCCAGCUAAAAAUAUUGCUAUUGAAGAGAAUCAACAUGCUGUUGCUUUUGAGAAGAUACGGAUAAGGAGAGGGUACUGUGGAGGAGAGUAGUGGCAGGUCAGGCAGGGGAAGAAACACACAUGGGUG